UUUUGCAUAUCAAUAAGCGGAGGAAAAGAAACCAACAGGGAUUGCCUCAGUAACGGCGAGUGAAGCGGCAACAGCUCAAAUUUGAAAUCUGGCCUCUUCGGGGCCCGAGUUGUAAUUUGUAGAGGAUGUUUCGGGUACCGCCUCGGUUUAAAUUUCUUGGAACAGAAUGUCAUAGAGGGUGAGAAUCCCGUCUUGGACCGGCGGUAGGGCCCAUGUGAAACUCCUUCGACGAGUCGAGUUGUUUGGGAAUGCAGCUCAAAAUGGGUGGUAAAUUUCAUCUAAAGCUAAAUAUUGGCCAGAGACCGAUAGCGCACAAGUAGAGUGAUCGAAAGAUGAAAAGAACUUUGAAAAGAGAGUUAAACAGUAUGUGAAAUUGUUGAAAGGGAAGCGCUUGCAACCAGACUUGAGCGCGGCGGUUCCCCCUUCCUUUUGGUUGGGUUACUCCGCCGUGUCCAGGCCAACAUCGGUUCUGGGGGUCGGUCAAAGGCCCGGGGAAUGUAUCUACUCCUUCGGGGGUAGACUUAUAGCCCCGGGUGUCAUGCGACCACCCGGGACCGAGGAACGCGCUUCGGCUCGGAUGUUGGCGUAAUGGUUGUCAGCGACCCGUCUUGAAACACGGACCAAAA
rnacentral:rRNA from 1 species